GAUCAUGGCUCAGGAUGAACGCUAGCUACAGGCUUAACACAUGCAAGUCGAGGGGAAACGAUAUUGGAAGCUUGCUUUUGAUGGGCGUCGACCGGCGCACGGGCGAGUAACGCGUAUCCAACCUGCCCAUCACUUGGGAAUAACCUUGCGAAAGUAAGCUAAUACCCAAUGAUAUCCCACGAAGGCAUCCGAAUGGGAUUAAAGAUUUAUCGUGAUGAGUGGGGUAGGGUAGUCGGUCCUUCGUA
rnacentral:rRNA from 1 species